GAUGAACGCUGGCGGCGUGCCUAAUACAUGCAAGUCGAGCGAACAGACGAGGAGCUUGCUCCUCUGACGUUAGCGGCGGACGGGUGAGUAACACGUGGAUAACCUACCUAUAAGACUGGGAUAACUUCGGGAAACCGGAGCUAAUACCGGAUAAUAUAUUGAACCGCAUGGUUCAAUAGUGAAAGACGGUUUUGCUUUCACUUAUAGAUGGAUCCGCGCCGCAUUAGCUAGUUGGUAAGGUAACGGCUUACCAAGGCAACGAUGCGUAGCCGACCUGAGAGGGUGAUCGGCCACACUGGAACUGAGACACGGUCCAGACUCCUACGGGAGGCAGCAGUAGGGAAUCUUCCGCAAUGGGCGAAAGCCUGACGGAGCAACGCCGCGUGAGUGAUGAAGGUCUUCGGAUCGUAAAACUCUGUUAUUAGGGAAGAACAAAUGUGUAAGUAACUAUGCACGUCUUGACGGUACCUAAUCAGAAAGCCACGGCUAACUCCGUG
rnacentral:rRNA from 1 species